rnacentral:rRNA from 1 species
AUUGAACGCUGGCGGCAGGCCUAACACAUGCAAGUCGAGCGGCAGCGCGGGGGCAACCCUGGCGGCGAGCGGCGAACGGGUGAGUAAUACAUGGGAAUCUGCCCUGUAGUGGGGGAUAACUCUGGGAAACUGGAGGUAAUACCGCAUACGUCCUACGGGAGAAAGCGGGGGAUCUUCGGACCUCGCGCUACAGGAGGAGCCCAUGUCCGAUUAGCUAGUUGGUGAGGUAAAGGCUCACCAAGGCGACGAUCGGUAACUGGUCUGAGAGGAUGGUCAGUCACACUGGAACUGAGACACGGUCCAGACUCCUACGGGAGGCAGCAGUGGGGAAUAUUGGACAAUGGGGGAAACCCUGAUCCAGCCAUGCCGCGUGUGUGAAGAAGGCC